CCUCCAUGAGAAGUUGUGGCAUCUGGGCCUCUCUCUCCUUCUCCCUUUCUGAGAGAAAGGAGGUGGCUUCGCCUGGUUGGUGAAUUUGAGAACAAUACAGAAAAAGAAUGUCCUGUAGCAUCUGACCAGACCAAAAGCAUCAGUGGAAGGAAGAGAGAAACAAGGCUGGAAAUGUGGAGUCAGAAGCUAGUCCCUAGAAAGUUCCUUCAGUCCUCUAACAGGUAAAUUAAAUCACAGGAAAUGGAUUGUAUCGAAAUUUCUAGUUACAGGACACAAGCUGGCAGCAAUUCCACAAAAGCCAGCUGAUCUGUGUACGAGGUCACAUGUUUGAUCUAAU